UACGUAGGGACCAAGCGUUGUUCGGAUUUACUGGGCGUAAAGGGCGCGUAGGCGGCGAAUCAAGUCAGCUGUGAAAUCUCCGAGCUUAACUCGGAACGGUCAGCUGAUACUGUUUUGCUAGAGUGCAGAAAGGGCAACCGGAAUUCUUGGUGUAGCGGUGAAAUGCGUAGAUAUCAAGAGGAACACCUGAGGUGAAGACGGGUUGCUGGGCCGACACUGACGCUGAGGAGCGAAAGCGUGGGGAGCGAACAGG
rnacentral:rRNA from 1 species